rnacentral:rRNA from 1 species
GACGAACGCUGGCGGCGUGCCUAAUACAUGCAAGUAGAACGCACAGUUUAUACCGUAGCUUACUACACCAUAGACUGUGAGUUGCGAACGGGUGAGUAACGCGUAGGUAACCUGCCUGGUAGCGGGGGAUAACUAUUGGAAACGAUAGCUAAUACCGCAUAAUAUUGAUUAUUGCAUGAUAAUUGAUUGAAAGAUGCUAUUGCAUCACUACCAGAUGGACCUGCGUUGUAUUAGCUAGUAGGUGAGGUAACGGCUCACCUAGGCGACGAUACAUAGCCGACCUGAGAGGGUGAUCGGCCACACUGGGACUGAGACACGGCCCAGACUCCUACGGGAGGCAGCAGUAGGGAAUCUUCGGCAAUGGACGAAAGUCUGACCGAGCAACGCCGCGUGAGUGAAGAAGGUUUUCGGAUCGUAAAGCUCUGUUGUAAGAGAAGAACGGGUGUGAGAGUGGAAAGUUCACACUGUGACGGUAUCUUACCAGAAAGGGACGGCUAACUACG